rnacentral:rRNA from 1 species
UCUACGGGAGGCAGCAGUAGGGAAUCUUCCACAAUGGACGCAAGUCUGAUGGAGCAACGCCGCGUGAGUGAAGAAGGUUUUCGGAUCGUAAAGCUCUGUUGUUGGUGAAGAAAGAUAGUGAGAGUAACUGCUCAUUAUUUGCCGGUAAUCAACCAGAAAGUCACGGCUAACUACGUGCCAGCAGCCGCGGUAAA